rnacentral:rRNA from 1 species
AAGCGGAGGAAAAGAAACCAACAGGGAUUGCCUCAGUAACGGCGAGUGAAGCGGCAAAAGCUCAAAUUUGAAAUCUGGUUCGCCCGAGUUGUAAUUUGAAGAGGUUGUUUUGGAAGCGGCUCUUGUCUAUGUUCCUUGGAACAGGACGUCACAGAGGGUGAGAAUCCCGUGCGAUGAGAUGCCCGCUUCUAUGUAAAACGUCCUCGACGAGUCGAGUUGUUUGGGAAUGCAGCUCUAAGUGGGUGGUAAAUUCCAUCUAAAGCUAAAUAUUGGCGAGAGACCGAUAGCGAACAAGUACAGUGAUGGAAAGAUGAAAAGAACUUUGAAAAGAGAGUGAAAAAGAAUGUGAAAUUGUUGAAAGGGAAGGACUUGAGAUCAGACUUGGAGGAUUUAUCCUUCUGGGCCAGCAUCAGCUCGAGGGGCGGGAGAAUGGCGCAGGAAAGUAGCUCAUUGAGUGUUAUAGCCUGCGCUGAUGCCGCCACUUUGGGCUGAGGACUGCGAAACAAGGAG